ensembl:ncRNA asRNA:CR43160 antisense RNA:CR43160
CAAUAGGCCUAAUAAAACUUGACUUGUCUUAGAUUCUGCAAACAUCGAUUUAUAUUUUUUUCACAGAAUAAUGAUUUCCUACGUCUCGGGUUGGUUACUGGCUCUGAUUUUCGGCAACAUACUCUUUUUGUUGUUUUCGAAUGUAUUGAAAAUGAUUCUGCUGCAAUUGGCAAUAGUUAUUCCACCGAUCUUUGCCUGUACAUACGUUUGGUAUCAAUCCGCAGGUGCAACUCGUAGCAAUUCCCAAUUAAACGGAUACAAUGUGCGCCGCAAAAGAGCGAGAAUGUUUCCAAAUCGUCCGAUGUCAAAUGUGAAUAUGGAUUUGGACUAAAGCACGCACGCACACGAGUUUGGCAAAUGUUUUGUUAAACUGUUGUUGAAUUUUUAAAACUGUUUCACAAUUGAGAUCCGCAUUCGUAUAUCCCGCUCAAACGGAAAACGUUUGUCUUUUAAUUAAUUUCUUGAUUGGCGACCGUCGAGCUAACGAACUAGAGGAUUGCUCACAACGAACUGCGGCGAUCGGAUAAAUUGAAUUUUUCAACAACCUGUCAUUCAGAAGGCGAAAGAUGCCAAAAACAGUAACGAACGUGAGAGAGCGAAGCUGAGUAGAAGAAACCGAGGUGCGAGAUAUACACAGAUAUGGCCAGAAGUUGAGAUACGCACACAGUCGCCAGACUUCCAGAUAUACAUAUACAGGCCUCACUUGACUACGUAACGUAUUUGUUAUUUUUGUUUCCAUACUAUUUGUACGUGUAUAUCGCUGGAUGGCACUGGAUUGGUAGUGGAAAGGGUUAGGAGGUCGGGGUUCGGGGUCCGGGAUUCACGGGAGAGUCAUCUUCAUCGUACGCCUGGAAUUUUUAACAUGUACGUGCGAGAGAGACUCCGGCCCAACUCUUUCCGCCCGAUUCCCUUUGUGGCCCGGACUCAACUGUUGCUGCAAGUCAAACAUUUACUCAUCGCCGGUUGAUGCGAACUCUCGUCCCCGAGUUGUAACCUUUGGGGGACGGAAACCCUGCGCGAUGUUGUCAUGAUGGCCAUUCGAUUGGGCCUAAAGUGAAGGUGUAGGCGGCGUAUGGCAACUGGCCAGUUUCCGCUGAAAGCGAGUCCGAAAUGCAAAUCACAAGUAAGCGGAAAAAAACAUGCUCCUCCACCUCCACCUCCACCUCCCAGGUCAAUCCUUUCCAGUUGCAAUCCAUUUCAAUUUCUCAAGCGGACAACGCAGCACUCUCGAUUGCCGACUUUGAUGUUGGCGGUGGCGGGAAUGGCGGCUCUCAAUGAUUUUUAUUGUUUUCGGGAUGGACCUGUUAAAAUUUCGGCAUACAUCACAGACGCACACGUACGUCAGAAAUGCGGAGCGAUACAAGAUACGCGAUGCCAUCGAAUUCACUGGUCGCUCAGCAGUCAGCAGGUGAACGAGUUCAGGGCGUCGAGAGACGCCACAUAAAACCAUAAAUAUAAAUAUCAACAAAUAAAAGAUAUGGAGUUCCUACAAGCG